rnacentral:rRNA from 1 species
AACGAACGCUGGCGGCAGGCUUAACACAUGCAAGUCGAGCGCCCCGCAAGGGGAGCGGCAGACGGGUGAGUAACGCGUGGGAAUCUACCCAUCUCUACGGAAUAACGCAUGGAAACGUGUGCUAAUACCGUAUACGUCCUUCGGGAGAAAGAUUUAUCGGAGAUGGAUGAGCCCGCGUUGGAUUAGCUAGUUGGUGGGGUAAAGGCCUACCAAGGCGACGAUCCAUAGCUGGUCUGAGAGGAUGAUCAGCCACACUGGGACUGAGACACGGCCCAGACUCCUACGGGAGGCAGCAGGGGGGAAUAUUGGACAAUGGGCGCAAGCCUGAUCCAUCCAUGCCGCGUGAGUGAUGAGGGCCCUAGGGUUGUAAAGCUCUUUCACCGGUGAAGAUAAUGACGGUAACCGGAGAAGAAGCCCCGGCUAACUUCGUGCCAGCCGCCGCGGUAACAC